AGAGCGCGCCUGCGCGGGCCGAGGUGGCCAAAGGGUAGUAGUAGUGGGCGGCUCAAGGUGCCACCCUCCCUCGGUCCUGGUUAGCACCUGUGCAGAUCCGCGCUCGGCUGCCAGCGUCCUCACAGAUCCCACGAGAGCACUGGUGGAUGGAGACCCCCAGAGGAAGCGGGAACCGCUUUCCUCCUGGGCCUUCUUUGGGAAGAAAUGUUUGAAUUCGAAGACAUGACCAAGAAAGGGGUUUCCUAAGGAAAAUACAGACCCUCCAUGCUGUCAAAGAAGUGCUCACAGAAUCACAGACUAGGAAGCUGAAAGAAUGAUGGUGCUGGAUACGUGGCAACAGAGAAGAGGUUCCUGUAGAGGAAGAAAUAAAGCUAAUAGCAAUUUCUUGUGGCAAGUAUUACCACCACAGAAUUAAAAUCAUUAAAACAGC